GAGCGAGGAGGUAGUUGGGAGCUCUCGAGGCCCUCGCUGCGUGUCUCCUGUUCAAGUUUCCGAGCGGCGGCGCGGUAGGAAAGCUUGCAAGAUGUCUGAAUAUAUUCGGGUAACCGAGGAUGAGAACGACGAACCCAUUGAAAUCCCCUCGGAGGAUGACGGCACGGUGCUCCUGUCCACCGUGACUGCCCAGUUUCCGGGGGCCUGUGGCCUGCGCUACAGGAACCCCGUGUCGCAGUGUAUGAGAGGGGUCCGGCUGGUGGAGGGAAUUCUGCACGCCCCCGAUGCCGGCUGGGGGAAUCUGGUCUAUGUUGUCAACUAUCCGAAAGAUAAUAAAAGAAAAAUGGAUGAGACAGAUGCUUCAUCAGCAGUGAAAGUGAAGAGAGCUGUCCAGAAAACGUCUGAUUUGAUAGUGUUGGGUCUCCCGUGGAAAACAACUGAGCAGGAUUUGAAGGAAUACUUUAGUACUUUUGGAGAAGUCCUCAUGGUGCAGGUCAAGAAAGAUAUUAAAACUGGUCAUUCAAAGGGAUUUGGUUUUGUCCGUUUCACGGAAUACGAGACCCAGGUGAAAGUCAUGUCACAGCGACACAUGAUAGAUGGACGUUGGUGUGACUGUAAGCUUCCUAAUUCUAAGCAAAGCCCCGAUGAGCCUCUGAGGAGCAGAAAGGUGUUCGUCGGGCGCUGUACGGAGGAUAUGACUGCUGAUGAGCUACAGCAGUUCUUUUCCCAGUAUGGAGAAGUGGUGGAUGUCUUCAUUCCCAAACCGUUCAGGGCCUUUGCCUUUGUUACAUUUGCGGAUGAUCAGGUUGCCCAGUCUCUUUGUGGAGAGGAUUUGAUCAUUAAAGGAAUCAGCGUACAUAUAUCCAAUGCUGAACCUAAGCACAAUAACAAUAGACAGUUAGAAAGAAGUGGAAGAUUUGGUGGUAAUCCAGGUGGCUUUGGGAAUCAGGGUGGAUUUGGUAAUAGUCGAGGGGGUGGGGCUGGCUUGGGAAAUAAUCAAGGUAGUAAUAUGGGUGGGGGGAUGAAUUUUGGGGCUUUUAGCAUUAAUCCAGCAAUGAUGGCUGCAGCCCAAGCAGCAUUGCAGAGCAGUUGGGGAAUGAUGGGCAUGCUAGCCAGUCAGCAGAACCAGUCAGGCCCGUCAGGUAAUAACCAAAGUCAAGGCAACAUGCAAAGGGAGCCUAAUCAGGCCUUUGGUUCUGGAAAUAACUCUUACAGUGGCUCCAAUGCCGGUGCCCCGAUUGGUUGGGGCUCAUCCUCGAAUGCAGGGUCGGGUAGUGGUUUUAAUGGGGGCUUCGGCUCCAGCAUGGAUUCCAAGUCCUCUGGCUGGGGAAUGUAGACAGUGUGGUCUGGGGGGGUGGUUGGUUGGGACUGGUGGGAACGCAAAUUUUUUCUAAACUCAUGGUAAGUAUAUUGUAAGAUAUAUAUGUACUAAAAAUUUUCAAGAUUGGUUUGUUCAGUGUGGAGUAUAUUCAGCAGUAUUUUUGACAUUUUUCUUUAGAAAAAAAAAAGGAAGAGCUAAAGGAAUUUUAUAAGUUUUGUUACUUAAAGGGUUGAAGUAUUGAGUGGCUGAAAGUGAACUGUUUGCCUGAUUGGUAAACCAACACACUACAAUUGAUAUCAAAAGGUUUCUCCUGUAAUAUUUUCUCCCUGGACUUGUCAAAUGAAUUCUUUGCAUGUUCAAAAUGGAAACCAUUGGUUAGAACUCCAUUCUUUUCUCCUCGAUUUAAUUUGAACCCCCACAUGGAGCUUUCCUUGGGAGGGUCUCCUUUCUGGAGACCCCGGGGUCAUGGUGUUUGGUUCUUUUGUUUUUGUUUGUUUUUAAUGCUUCUCUCCCCUCAUGUACAAAAGUACAAUAAGAAGCCUUCAUUUAAUCUCUACAGUUCAUCUCAUUUCAAAUGUUUGUGGAAGAAGCACUUCAUUGAAAGUAGUGCUAUAAAUAUUCUACCGUAGGAAUACUUCUGUCUACAUGCUUUCUCAUUCAAGAAUUCGUCAUCACACUGCACAGGCUGCGCCUUUGACGCUCUGAAUGCAAAGAAUUCAUAGCAGUUAAUUCCCCCCCCCCCAUUUCGUUGUUUUUUUUAACCCUUUUGAGAUGGAACUUUCAUAGUUUCUUGACAGUAGUUUUAUUUUGCUUAAAAUAAACUUAUUUGAAAAGUUGUCUCAAGUCAAAUGGAUUCAUCCCCUGUCAUGCAUUGACACCUGAUUCCCAGACGUCAUUGCUAUUGGUUCUUGCAUUGUUCAAGAUGAGCCAUUCUUUUUUUCCCUUGUUCUCUUUUUAAUCUAGCUUUUAAUAAGUCUGGGUGACCGCACCUAAGAUGGUAAGCAGUACCCUCCAGCUUUUCCUCAAUGCCUCUGGGCAUUUGGGUAAUGUUAGAAAUGGGCAGUCACCAAGCCGGGAAUCCUGCCUUCUAAAAAUAUGGGCAAAACAAUGUUAAUAUUGUCACGUGCUUUGUAGCAAAGCAUAUUCGUUUAAAAAAGAAAUAGUGGCCCCUUUCUAAUUUGGGGUUUGAAAAGUGGAAUUGCCAUGAGGAUAAAGUAGAAGAAACCACAGAUUACCUUAUGCUUGAAAUCCAUUACGCGUCCCAACAGCUUUUCAGAACUAGUAGGGUGGGUGUGUGUCUGUGGAAGUGCUAAGUGAAAUGGGCUUUGUCCUCAAAAGGUAGAGGGAUACAGUACUGUUGACUAAAAGCGCUCACAAAACUCACUCUCACAAAGCGUUGCUAAGUAUGUAGAAGCAAUAAUACAUUGGCUCUUGUACAUUUUUAUGUAACUAAUUCUGUGAGAGCUGAGGGCUCGUUUUCUAAUUGGAAAAAUGUUACAACUUUUGUGUUAAAAGCAUACCUAAUACCUUUCAUCUAAUUAGAUGAUGAUAAAUAGGUUUGUCGGUGUGCAGUUAUGUGUUUUAAACAUUGAUCAAUGAAGCCAUCCUUUAGAUGUGUGAUCACAACCUUAAUUUGUUCCUCACUUUCCUGUGUGAAAGGCUCUUGAGUUGUUUGAGGUUUUGUUUUUGUUUUUCCUGCAUCUAAAUCUGCAUGAUUUCCAAACCCUGUACCAUCUGAAUUUUGCAUUUUAGCACUUGCACUGUUACUCAGCAGCAGUAACAUGGUAGCACUAAAAAUGGUAUUCGGGGAGCUCCACAGACUUAACUGGAAAGCCAGCCUCCAAGGAACCCAGGGGUAAGUUAACUCCUCAACGGCAUGGCUUUAAUCCCUUCUUUACACUUGUGUAAACAUUAGUUUCCAGUCAGAGAAGGCUUUCGAUGUUGCCUUUGAUUUAAAAGUCUUAUCUGGUCAUCUAAAUGCAUUCAUUCUAACAUUUUGAACCAGUUAAAUAAAAAAUUUUGUUGUCACCACA